rnacentral:rRNA from 1 species
ACCCAUGUCCGUACCUCUUUAAGAAUAACAUCAUCUGAUCUCAUCUGAUCUCUGAAGCAGGGCUGGGCCUGGUUAGUACCUGAAUGAGAGACUGCUGGAAAUACCAGGUGCCACAGGGG